AUACGUAGGGUGCGAGCGUUAAUCGGAAUUACUGGGCGUAAAGCGUGCGCAGGUGGUUUUGUAAGUCAGAUGUGAAAUCCCCGGGCUUAACCUGGGAACUGCGUUUGAAACUGCAAGGCUAGAGUGUGGCAGAGGGGGGUGGAAUUCCGCGUGUAGCAGUGAAAUGCGUAGAUAUGUGGAGGAACACCGAUGGCGAAGGCAGCCCCCUGGGUCAGCACUGACGCUCAGGCACGAAAGCAUGGGGAGCAAACAGGAUUAGAUACCCCAGUAGUCC
rnacentral:rRNA from 1 species